AAAAAGGUAAGCUAAGAAAAGCUUUUAGGCUCAUAACCUAAAUAUAGAAAUAAAAUUUCUCCUUUUUA
rnacentral:tRNA from 2 species